rnacentral:rRNA from 1 species
UGAGGAAUAUUGCGCAAUGGGGGAAACCCUGACGCAGCAACGCCGCGUGAGUGAGGAAGGUUUUCGGACCGUAAAGCUCUGUCGAGCGGGAAGAAAUGCAUGGUGGCUAAUAUCCAUCAUGCUUGACGGUACCGCUAAAGGAAGCACCGGCUAACUCCGUGCCAGCAGCCGCGGUAAUACGGGGGGUGCGAGCGUUAUUCGGAAUCAUUGGGCGUAAAGCGCGUGUAGGCGGCUUGACAAGUCAGAUGUGAAAUCCCUGGGCUUAACCCAGGAAGUGCAUUUGAAACUGUCUAGCUUGAGUAAGGGAGAGGAAAGUGGAAUUCCUGGUGUAGAGGUGAAAUCCGUAGAUAUCAGGAGGAACACCGGUGGCGAAGGCGACUUUCUGGCCCUAUACUGACGCUGAGACGCGAAAGCGUGGGGAGCAAACA